rnacentral:rRNA from 1 species
UGAACGCUGGCGGCGUGCCUACUACAUGCAAGUCGAGCGAACAGACGAGGCGCUUGCUCCUCUGACGUUAGCGGCGGACGGGUGAGUAACACGUGGAUAACCUACCUAUAAGACUGGGAUAACUUCGGGAAACCGGAACUAAUACCGGAUAAUAUAUUGAACCGCAUGGUUCAAUAGUGAAAGACGGUUUUGCUGUCACUUAUAGAUGGAUCCGCGCCGCAUUAGCUAGUUGGUAAGGUAACGGCUUACCAAGGCAACGAUGCGUAGCCGACCUGAGAGGGUGAUCGGCCACACUGGAACUGAGACACGGUCCAGACUCCUACGGGAGGCAGCAGUAGGGAAUCUUCCGCAAUGGGCGAAAGCCUGACGGAGCAACGCCGCGUGAGUGAUGAAGGUCUUCGGAUCGUAAAACUCUGUUAUUAGGGAAGAACAAAUGUGUAAGUAACUAUGCACGUCUUGACGGUACCUAAUCAGAAAGCCACGGCUAACUACGUG